rnacentral:rRNA from 2 species
UUAAAGAUUACGGUAAGAGAUGACUAUGCGUCCUAUUAGCUAGAUGGUGUGGUAACGGCACACCAUGGCAACGAUAGGUAGGGGCCCUGAGAGGGGGAUCCCCCACACUGGUACUGAGACACGGACCAGACUCCUACGGGAGGCAGCAGUGAGGAAUAUUGGACAAUGGAGGCAACUCUGAUCCAGCCAUGCCGCGUGCAGGAUGACUGCCCUAUGGGUUGUAAACUGCUUUUAUACAGGAAGAAACCAUCUCACGUGUGAGAUCUUGACGGUACUGUAAGAAUAAGGAUCGGCUAACUCCGUGCCAGCAGCCGCGGUAAUACGGAGGAUCCAAGCGUUAUCCGGAAUCAUUGGGUUUAAAGGGUCCGUAGGUGGAUAAUUAAGUCAGAGGUGAAAUCCUGCAGCUCAACUGUAGAAUUGCCUUUGAUACUGGUUAUCUUGAGUUAUUAUGAAGUAGUUAGAAUAUGUAGUGUAGCGGUGAAAUGCAUAGAUAUUACAUAGAAUACCAAUUGCGAAGGCAGAUUACUAAUAAUAUACUGACACUGAUGGACGAAAGCGUGGGGAGCGAACAGGAUUAGAUACCCUGGUAGUCCACGCCGUAAACGAUGGUCACUAGCUGUUCGAACUUCGGUUUGAGUGGCUAAGCGAAAGUGAUAAGUGACCCACCUGGGGAGUACGUUCGCAAGAAUGAAACUCAAAGGAAUUGACGGGGGCCCGCACAAGCGGUGGAGCAUGUGGUUUUAAUUCGAUGAUACGCGAGGACCCUUACCAGGGCUUAAAUGUAGAUUG